rnacentral:rRNA from 1 species
CAUGCAUGUCUAAGUAUAAGCAAUUAUACCGUGAAACUGCGAAUGGCUCAUUAAAUCAGUUAUCGUUUAUUUGAUAGUACCUUACUACUUGGAUAACCGUGGUAAUUCUAGAGCUAAUACAUGCUGAAAACCCCAACUUCGGGAGGGGUGUAUUUAUUAGAUAAAAAACCAACGCCCUUGGGGCUUUUUGUGAUUCAUGAUAACUUUACGGAUCGCAUGGCCUUGCGCCGGCGACGGUUCAUUCAAAUUUCUGCCCUAUCAACUUUCGAUGGUAAGGUAUUGGCUUACCAUGGUUUCAACGGGUAACGGGGAAUUAGGGUUCGAUUCCGGAGAGGGAGCCUGAGAAACGGCUACCACAUCCAAGGAAGGCAGCAGGCGCGCAAAUUACCCAAUCCCGACACGGGGAGGUAGUGACAAUAAAUACUGAUACAGGGCUCUUUUGGGUCUUGUAAUUGGAAUGAGUACAAUUUAAACCUCUUAACGAGGAACAAUUGGGGGGCAAGUCUGGUGCCACCAGCCGCGGUAAUUCCAGCUCCACUAGCGUAUAUUAAAGUUGUUGCAGUUAAAAAGCUCGUAGUUGAACCUUGGGUCUGGCUGGCAGGUCCGCCUCACCGCGUGUACUUGUCCGGCCGGGCCUUCCUUCUGGGGAACCUCAUGCCCUUCACUGGGCGUGUUGGGGACCAGGACUUUUACUUUGAAAAAAUUAGAGUGUUCAAAGCAGGCCUUUGCUCGAAUACGUUAGCAUGGAAUAAUAGAAUAGGACGUGCGGUCCUAUUUUGUUGGUUUCUAGGACCGCCGUAAUGAUUAAUAGGGACAGUCGGGGGCAUCAGUAUUCAAUUGUCAGAGGUGAAAUUCUUGGAUUUAUUGAAGACUAACUACUGCGAAAGCAUUUGCCAAGGAUGUUUUCAUUAAUCAGUGAACGGAAGUUAGGGGAUCGAAGACGAUCAGAUACCGUCGUAGUCUUAACCGUAAACUAUGCCGACUAGGGAUCGGGCGAUGUUCUUUUCUGACUCGCUCGGCACCUUACGAGAAAUCAAAGUUUUUGGGUUCUGGGGGGAG